rnacentral:tRNA from 1 species
GGGGCUGUAGCUCAGCUGGGAGAGCACCUGCUUUGCAAGCAGGGGGUCAGCGGUUCGAUCCCGC